rnacentral:ncRNA from 1 species
GUGCUAUAUGAAAGGAGAGAAGGUUAGCACUCCCCCAGACAAGGAUGGAAGAGGUCCUCAGGCCUGACAACACGCAUAUGGUUAAGUCAGGACCCCUGGUGGCA